rnacentral:rRNA from 1 species
UUCUGGCUCAGGAUGAACGCUAGCUACAGGCUUAACACAUGCAAGUCGAGGGGCAGCAUGAGAUUAGCUUGCUAAUCUUGAUGGCGACCGGCGCACGGGUGCGUAACACGUAUCCAAUCUACCCAUGGCUCGGGGAUAGCCUUUCGAAAGAAAGAUUAAUACCCGAUGGUCUGCGAUUGAGACAUCUCGAUUGCAGUAAAGACUUGUCGGCGAUGGAUGGGGAUGCGUCCGAUUAGCUAGUUGGCGGGGUAACGGCCCACCAAGGCAACGAUCGGUAGGGGUUCUGAGAGGAAGGUCCCCCACACUGGAACUGAGACACGGUCCAGACUCCUACGGGAGGCAGCAGUGAGGAAUAUUGGUCAAUGGGCGAUGGCCUGAACCAGCCAAAGUAGCGUGAGGGACGACGGCCCUACGGGUUGUAAACCUCUUUUGUAUGGGAAUAAAGUGAGGCACGUGUGCCUUUUUGUAUGUACCUUACGAAUAAGCAUCGGCUAAUUCCGUGCCAGCCGCGGC